AUUGAACGCUGGCGGCAUGCCUUACACAUGCAAGUCGAACGGCAGCACGGGAGCAAUCCUGGUGGCGAGUGGCGAACGGGUGAGUAAUAUAUCGGAACGUGCCCAGUCGUGGGAGAUAACGUAGCGAAAGCUACGCUAAUACCGCAUACGAUCUAUGGAUGAAAGCGGGGGAUCGCAAGACCUCGCGCGAUUGGAGCGGCCGAUAUCAGAUUAGGUAGUUGGUGAGGUAAAGGCUCACCAAGCCGACGAUCUGUAGCUGGUCUGAGAGGACGACCAGCCACACUGGGACUGAGACACGGUCCAGACUCCUACGGGAGGCAGCAGUGGGGAAUAUUGGACAAUGGGCGAAGCCUGAUCCAGCCAUGCCGCGUGUGUGAAGAAGGUCUUCGGAUUGUAAGCACUUUAAGUUGGGUAGGAAGGGUAGUAACCUAAUACGUU
rnacentral:rRNA from 1 species